rnacentral:tRNA from 2 species
GGGCGGUUAGCUUAGGGGUUAUGACGAAAGCCGUUGAACCGAGGAACUAGGUAGAACAGUCGAAAACUGCCUAAAGCAUCGGGCUUUUAACCCGAGGGUCGCGGGUUCAAAUCCCGUACCGCCCGCCA